GAUAAAUCCAACGCAUCCUACCUAGUCACACGAACCAAACACAUCCUAAUUAACUACUCUCGUAUCCUUGUCCGCUAGAGCUAUAGAGCAACCAAGUGACUGCUUAUCCAUGUAGAUUUAUUUCGAGUGGAUUUGAACUAUUUUGGUUAGACUUCAGCUCCACAUGUAUCAGGAGUUAAGAGCGGAAGCUCUACAAAUCUGGCCUAGCUAAUUGCACACAACGUUUUCCUUUCUCAGCACUCAACACGAAAUGUGCAUGGGACAUAUAUAGAGUCUUUUACCCCUAUGCCAUUAAAAAAGUUGAGGGACAUAUAUAUAGAGUCUUUUACUCAUAUGCCAUUAAAAAAGUUGAUGGUUACCCGUGUGCCAUAAAAAAAUU
rnacentral:lncRNA from 1 species